rnacentral:rRNA from 1 species
GAUGGACGCUGGCGGCGUGCUUAACACAUGCAAGUCGAACGAAGCACUUUAACCUGAUUCUUCGGAUGAAGGUUUUUGUGACUGAGUGGCGGACGGGUGAGUAACGCGUGGGUAACCUGCCUCAUACAGGGGGAUAACAGUUAGAAAUGACUGCUAAUACCGCAUAAGACCACAGAGCCGCAUGGCUCGGUGGGAAAAACUCCGGUGGUAUGAGAUGGACCCGCGUCUGAUUAGGUAGUUGGUGGGGUAACGGCCUACCAAGCCAACGAUCAGUAGCCGACCUGAGAGGGUGACCGGCCACAUUGGGACUGAGACACGGCCCAAACUCCUACGGGAGGCAGCAGUGGGGAAUAUUGCACAAUGGGGGAAACCCUGAUGCAGCGACGCCGCGUGAGCGAAGAAGUAUUUCGGUAUGUAAAGCUCUAUCAGCAGGGAAGAAAAUGACGGUACCUGACGAAGAAGCACCGGCUAAAUACGUG